CACGUAGGGUGCGAGCGUUGUCCGGAAUUAUUGGGCGUAAAGAGCUCGUAGGCGGUGUGUCGCGUCGGCCGUGAAAACCUGCAGCUUAACUGUGGGCUUGCGGUCGAUACGGGCAUCACUGGAGUUCGGCAGGGGAGACUGGAAUUCCUGGUGUAGCGGUGAAAUGCGCAGAUAUCAGGAGGAACACCGGUGGCGAAGGCGGUUCUCUGGGCCUUACCUGACGCUGAGGUAGCGAAAGCGUGGGGAGCAAACAGGA
rnacentral:rRNA from 1 species